UACGAAGGGGGCUAGCGUUGUUCGGAAUUACUGGGCGUAAAGCGCACGUAGGCGGUUAUUUAAGUCAGGGGUGAAAUCCCGGGGCUCAACCCCGGAACUGCCUUUGAUACUGGGUAUCUCGAGUCCGAGAGAGGUGAGUGGAAUUCCGAGUGUAGAGGUGAAAUUCGUAGAUAUUCGGAGGAACACCAGUGGCGAAGGCGGCUCACUGGCUCGGUACUGACGCUGAGGUGCGAAAGCGUGGGGAGCAAACAGG
rnacentral:rRNA from 1 species